CCCAUGGAACCAAGCAGGUGAAGAAAAAUGAACAAAAAAAAAAAAGAAAGGGAAAAACGAACAAAAGGAUAAACAAGGUCAGCGUGGUUGGUCUCUUUGGCGACAGGAUGAACUUCAAACGAGCCGGACUGUGCCACUUCUUCGAGCAUGAACAGGAAGAAGUCGAGUGGCCGUAUGGAUCUCGUCGAACUGGCCAAAUUUUCGAGCAGACUUUAGGAAAACGAUCGACUCUUUUAUGGCUCGUGAAUGCCGCAAGACGUUUCAAGGAGACCGUUUCAACCAUUUGCUUUGCGAUUCGAAAUUUCUCAUUUCCUUCGUUCCAGAGAAUUGUUUGAGAGAAAAGCACGUUAAACGCCACCGCCUUUCAUUCACUUUCGUGCGGACCUGAACGCCACCUACUUCCGCUCCACGCCGCAACGAUCAUCGCGUGCACCGAUAAUUAUCGGCUUUUAGCCGGGCUCCUAGUUUCUCUAAAAAACCCGAGCAGCCACCCCUCAUUUUCCCAGGCCACGUUUCGAUCUCUAUUGUCGUCGUUGGACGUCGGUUUUCGAGAAUUGCGAAGUUUUGGGAGGAUUGUAAAGAUUGGAUCGAUCGAAGAGGAUGCACACGAGUCAAGGAAAUAUGAUUUAAGAGUUAUAUCGUAGGAUAAAAUAUUUAGAAAUGCUAUAAAUGUUAAUUAUUAAUGUUAUAUUUAUGUUUCUUUGUUAAGAAAAGAAACAAAUAAAUAAAGGUAUACAAUAAAA